UAGAUCAAUGGUAGUCGGUGGCGGCCGUGGCUUCAUCUGGAGGUAAUGCCACGCAUUUAUGUGGGGAGGCGAGUGAAGACCUUGCAUGCGUCAGAGUGAUGCACUGUGGCUCAGCGACCGGUGGGUGGGUGGAAAAUACCAUUCUGAAUGAACGCCCACCCACACACUGUUAGUUCAGUGGGGAUAACGAAGACGAGAAGUCACACACACAGGGAUUUCCUAAUAUGGGUUGUCUACUUCCUAAAUUAUUAUUACAUUAUACUGACAGUCACAGUGAGGAUUCUGAAGAAGCAUGAGGGUUUCAAUCACUUUUGAGAAAAGCUGUCCUACGAUGAGGCGUGUGUCAACCGAUGCAUGUCAACUGGAUUGAACCAUUGUGUUAUGCAGGAAAUGUCCAAACGGGGAAAACAGAAAUCCUCUAGUUGUAGAGGGGAAUUGCA